rnacentral:rRNA from 1 species
UUUGCCUACGGGGCGCAGCAGACGGGAAUAUUGCGCAAUGGAGGAAACUCUGACGCAGUGACGCCGCGUAUAGGAAGAAGGUCUUCGGAUUGUAAACUAUCGUCCACAGGGAAGAUAAAAGACUGUACCUGUGAAGAAAGCUCCGGCUAACUACGUGCCAGCACCCGCGGUAAUACGUAGGGAGCAAGCGUUAUCCGGAAUUAUUGGGUGUAAAGCGUGCGUAGACGGGUUAACAAGUUAGUUGUGAAACCUCUCGG